rnacentral:rRNA from 1 species
UACGUAGGGGGCAAGCGUUGUCCGGAAUUAUUGGGCGUAAAGCGCGCGCAGGCGGUCGAUUAAGUUUGGUGUUUAAGCCCGGGGCUCAACCCCGGAUCGCACUGAAAACUGGUCGACUUGAGUGUAGGAGAGGAAAGUGGAAUUCCACGUGUAGCGGUGAAAUGCGUAGAGAUGUGGAGGAACACCAGUGGCGAAGGCGACUUUCUGGCCUAUAACUGACGCUGAGGCGCGAAAGCGUGGGGAGCAAACAGG